CUCUGUCACUCAGAAGUGCUACCGAGGUUUGGGGCCCCCGCAGGGUCCAUGCGCUAGAUCAGUGCUGUGCGGGUUUGUGCAGAUGCUGCCAGGGAAGGAAGGGCUGGUGUCAGCUAUUCUUGCAGAAGAGGAGACAGACACUCAGGGAGGACAAGUUCUGGGCCCCUUUGUACAUAAGUAGAAGGCAGUGAAGUGAGGUCCAGAGCCAGCGGAGGCCAGAACCCGGCCUUCUGAGCUCUCGCUGCUGAUACCCUCCCUUUCCGGGGGUACAGAUCCUCCCCGGGCUGCACUGCUCAUGGCCCCUGUUCCCCUGCUCACUCACAGGCAAAAAGCGGAAAAUGCCCUCUUGGUCAUCCCUGACUCGUGCCAGGGUUGGCGUAGCCGCUCUCCGCUACCUAGGACCUCCCUGGAUUCCUUCAGUUCACAGCCCUGGCUUCUUAGAAGACCCAUUUGGCGGAUGGCACCCUGGGAAACCUUCUCACGUGUUCCCAGCACCCUGGCAUCCAGAGAAGGCUCUGCUUUACCUCAAGUCCAGCGCUUCAGAGGGAAUCUCCACCCAGCUUCACGUGUGUGUUGAAGUGGCCUCAGAGCCACAGCCCCUCUCUCGUCUUCCCGUCUCCAUCACAACCCACCCCUCCGGCUCAGGAACAGGAGAGGGGGAGCGGUGAGCCUGCCGAUGGGCAGACACUGGGCAAGGGCCACACUUCCUCCUGCUGUGGGUUCCACGGCAGCACCCAUCGUGGAAACCCUCUGCAGCAAAACACCAAGCAUGGGCAUGAAGAUGGUGGACUCUUCAGCCUCGAGGAGCCCAGAUUUUCAACACAGAUGGAGAAACAGCUGAGAAAACACAUGUAGUACAUCGGGCUGUAACCCCGGAACAACACACAAAGGCCCACAGGAAGUCCACGUCCUUCCACUGACACCAUGGAGCUGAGCCCUGGAAGCGGAGGAGGCUGAUGAGCACCAGGCCUCAUAAAGGGGAACAGGAAGAAUAAAGACGAGCAGGAUGAAGGCUUCUGGUGUGUGGGGACCGUAGGAAUGUAGGGGGCCCAGCACCUUGGUCUGUGGGUGACAGGCAGUGGUCUGGGAGUCCAUGGGGGAGGCGAGAUGGGGCCAAGCAUGGAGGCCUUGUUGGCUGCGGUGUUGGGCUUUACUGGGGAGGCAGCGGGGAGCCCCUGGAGCAGAGACAGGAUGUCACGAUCAGAGCUUAGUUUGAAGAUGACUAACCUAACAGCAGAGGAGAGGAUGGGUGGGAGGGGAAAUCAGAGGGAGGGAGCCAAGAAAGUUCAAUGCACAGCUCAUCCUGAACCUCGAAAGGACUUGGAAACAGGGAUCUAUGUCUGGGCCCUGGCGCAGAGCGCUGUGCAGGGUGCCCCACAUGACACAGGCUGAGGGAGCCUGGCGAGUGCCUCCUUCCUUGGCCUGGAGGCUGUCAGUCAAGAACCGGGCAGCAGCGGGCAGAGCCACCAUGGCAGGGAGACGCAACCCCACCGUGGAGUCUGGCAGAGGCCAGCUGGGUUGGUGCCCGGCCAGAUGACAGGAGAAACAGUGUGCCCUGCCAGGAGAGCUAAGGGAGGCCCAGGCUGGGUCUCUCCUGGAUGCAGGCCCUGGAGCUGUGUGAGCCUCUGCCCUGCUCUCUGAGAGCCAGUGAGGGGAGCAGUGGUCGGGGACAACAGCGUCGCUGUGGAAACUGUGAAGACUUGAAGGCUCCUGCACCUCAAUGCUUUAGGAACUCGCUCCAAAUUCCCAGCAAUAAUUUUGGGGAAGGGGGGAAAUUAAAGGAAACCAAGCAGUUGCCCACAUAGGGCAACACAAAGUCCAUGUCAGAACGCCAGGUCUAUGGGCAUCAGAAAGGGAGCCUUCCAUGCUCUACAUGGGAAGAGAGAUCCCUACAGUGUCUUCCAUCCCCUGCACUUGGGAUGGACUUGACUUUAGGGGCCAUUAUGGUUAGGAUCACAAAUAGCACCCAAAGGCUCAUGUAGAAGGCAUGGUCCCAGCUGAUGGCGGUAUUGGAAAUGGUAGGAGGCAGGGCACAGGUGAAGGAAGGCAGGUCACUGGGGCUGUGCCCUCUGAGGGAUGUUGGGCUCUCAACCUCCACUCUCUUUCUUGGUUUGAGGUGAGCAGUUUCCUGGGCCAUGCCCUUACUGAUGUAACGUUCUGCCUUGCCACAGGCCCAGAGACACACAGCCAAGUGUGCUGAAACCGUGAGCCAAGAUAAACCUUUCCUCCUUUUACUUUGUUUAGCUCAAGUCUUGAAAUCUGACUACCACAGGUGACUAACAUGUGUGGCUCAACACGUCCAGAGCCUUGUCUCCGUGCUGUGGGAAGACAGCAGAGAGUGGGGCUGUAAGGAAAUAAUGUCACCACAGAGAGUGGAUUCACGCUGGUCAUACAAGGAGCAAGGGCACCUAGGAGGUGGGGCACCUUCAUCUCAUGUGGCCUGGCCUGCCUGCUAGGAUCCUGUCAGCUGAAGCAAGUGCAACCGCCAAAGGAGACACCAAGGGCAGGGAAGUAGAGUCCGCCCUUGUGGAAGGAGCUGCAAAGCAACAUGGUACACGGCGUAGACAGAGCGAGGUGACCCUGUGCCACAGCGUGUGAUCUGCCUGCUCUUCCCAAGGGCCACUGUGCCAAGGUGCUGUGGGAUACCGGGUGACAGACCCAGCCUCUCCCUGCAGCUCAGCAUCCAGUACAGGGAACCAAUGGGCCCAUAAAUGGGUAUCAUAUCAUCUGGAUAUAAGGCAAAGAUCUGGGAAGAGGGGAGGCAGUGACACGGUUUGUGUAUGAGAGUCAGGAAAUACUUGCAGGAGAAAGCCUCUUAUGCAGAAGAAUGGCUUUGACCUGUGAAAAGGGAAAGGACCCUCAGCUCCCCAGCCAAGAGGCAGAAAUCCAAGGUCAGUAAUGAUGGUCAACGUGGUUUCCUCUAUAUUGCAAAUGCUUUAAUAAUGCUGGUGAUGAGCACACAGAGAAUACCGGACCCCUGUGCGUGAGCAUUAGGUGGGCUCGCCUAAUGCAAGCUGUGUUAGGACCCUGGAAUGACAUAAAAUGUGAUCUUCUAUGAGUUUGAUUUUGGAGUCAGAACUGAGCUUUUACUACAUUUGUUCUCCACGUAACCAUGACCCCCUCACAGUGGGCAUCUGCGAUGUCCCCAAAAGGCCCACAGAUUAAACGCCCAGCCCCAGAUUGGCACUGUUAGGAGGCAGUGGAAACUGAGGGGUGCAGCCUCGGGUCUCCUGGCCAUGGGGAUGUGCCUUGGGGGACAGUGCGGCCCCAGCUCUUCCUCUCUCUUUGCUUCCAGACCAGCGUGAUCAGGUUUUCUCCACCACAUGUGCUGGCCGUCACGUGCUUCCUUAAGGCCCAACUGAUCAUGGACAGAAGCCCCUAAAACUGUGAGCUAAAAUAAACCUUUUCUCUUUACAACGUGCUUGUCUCAGGGAUCCAUCACAGCAAAGGAUCAUGUGCUCACUCACUCCUUCCAAGAUAUUACAUUUUGAGCUGCCCUUUCCUUCACGUGGUUAUUCAAUUUGUUCAUCAGACACACUCUACUAGAGACCACAUUCCCUGCACUGGGGACACAGAGGGCAGCAGACACCGCCUCCGCCUCCAGGUAGAACAAUCAUCUUGCUCUUCCAAGGGCCUGAGUGCCUGGCCAGAGGAACUUUGUACCCUUUCAGAACGUGCGCCCAGGAGC